UGGUACCAAAUCUGGAUAAACUCCUUUCGGUUCUUAAACCUGAGGAAAUUCUAUUUCUGGCUUUUCUUUUCCCGCGGGAUGCGAACAUGUUUAAAUUGCCCCUAAAGAAGAUCAAAGAUAUGAUUCAAGAAGCAAUGGCUAAAGAGGAGGAAAACAGAGAAAAGCCUCCGGUGGAAGGUUGUGAAGACCGUCGUAUGACGGAGGAGGAAAGGACAAAAUUGCUUGAAGCAUUUUCUUUCCUAUGGGAUAAAAAACAAUGAAUUGGAACUAUUGAGUGGUGUAGGUAUCCAUCUUAGCAAAUAGAGAUACCGAGGCCCACCAACCUACUACUUGUUGGUUUGGUGGGGAAAGAGGAGUGGGUAUGAGGGCUUCUUU